AAAAUCUCAGGACCGGCCGUGACUACGAAGGUCUCGCCGGACCAAUUGGUCGGUCCCCGGCGCGGCGACGAUUGGAUCCAGCAAGGGGCAGCAAGGACCCGGUCGCAUUUUCACUUUUCUUAGUGGGGUCUUUUUUGCAAAAUGCAGGGACUUGUUUGUAUUUACUAGUUUCUUCGGGGUCUUUGCUGUUCCACCGCUUUAAUCAAUGCAAUGCUGUGUCCUUCGGGGCCCUUCUAAUGUUCAAAAAAAAGAUGUGCAAUUUUAGGGGCU
rnacentral:lncRNA from 1 species